rnacentral:rRNA from 1 species
UACGAGGGGGGCGAGCGUUGUUCGGAAUUAUUGGGCGUAAAGGGUGCGUAGGCGGUUUGGUAAGUCUUAUGUGAAAUCUACAGGCUCAACUUGUAGUCUGCAUGAGAAACUGCCGGGCUUGAGUAUGGGAGAGGUGAGUGGAAUUCCUGGUGUAGCGGUGAAAUGCGUAGAUAUCAGGAGGAACACCUGUGGCGAAAGCGGCUCUCUGGGACGGUACUGACGCUGAGACGCGAAAGCGUGGGGAGCGAACAGG